ensembl:lncRNA
AGAUCAGUUACAAGCCUGAGUGCUGAUCGAAGUUCCACCGUAUCUCAGGAAGAAAUAGACGCGGUGCUCGUUCCGUUUUUGUUGCUGUUGUCAUGUGAACAGAAUUAUGGGAUGGGCUUCUCUGACAGAGUCGCAUGACUUUCACCAGACGUUUAUAGGAUUAAAUGACGUCUCAAAUCGAGACGUGACGGAACUUGACGUGACGUGGUGAUGUGAUGAGACGUGAUUGGACUUGACAUGACGCGACGUGGCGAUGCGAUGAGACAUUGUAACGUGUUGUAGUGAUGAGGCGUUGUGAUGACGACUGUGUGUCUAGACACCUGGAUUUAAGUUUAUGACGUGGUGUUGUGACACGUCUGUGAUGAGAGGAGACAUGACGUGAUGUGACGUGACAUUUUGGUGUGAUGUGGUCAAGAGACAUUUCGAUGGGACUUUGUGACAAGGCGUUGUGAUGAAACGUGGUGAGACGACGUGAUGAGACAUGCCAUGAGACGUGGCGAGACAUGACAUGACAUGACAAGGCGUUAGACAUUUCGAUGGGACUUUGUGACAAGGCGUUGUGAUGAAACGUGGUGAGACGACGUGAUGAGACAUGCCAUGAGACGUGGCGAGACAUGACAUGACAUGACAAGGCGUUGUGAUGAGACGUGGUGAUGGGAUGUGGUGAGACGUGACAUUGUGACGAGGCGUGGUGACGUGGUGUUGUGACGUGACAUUGUGAUAAGACUUGGUGAGACGUGACAUUGUGACGAGGCAUGAUGACGUGGUGUUGUGACGUGACGUGCAAGUUCUAGUUCACAUCACAUGUUGUCACCAUGUCACUACACAACGUCACGUCUUGUCUCCUGUCUCUCCCUCUCUCUGUCUCUCCCUCCCUCUCUCUCUCUGUCUCUCCCUCCCUCUCUCUCUCUCUGUCUCUCUUUCUGUCUCCUCUCUCUGUCUCUCUCUCUCCCUCUCCCUCCCUCCCUCCCUCUCUCUCUCUCUGUCUCACUUUCUGUCUCCUCUCUCUAUCUCUCUCUGUCUCUCUCUCCCUCUCCCUCCCUCCCUCUCUCUCUCUGUCUCACUUUCUGUCUCCUCUCUCUGUCUCUCUCUCUCCCUCUCCCUCCCUCCCUCCCUCUGUCUCUCUGUCUCACUUUCUGUCUCCUCUCUCUAUCUCUCUCUGUCUCUCUCUCCCUCUCCCUCUCUCCCUCUCUCUCUCUGUCUCACUUUCUGUCUCCUCUCUCUGUCUCUCUCUCUCCCUCUCCCUCCCUCCCUCCCUCUCUCUCUCUGUCUCACUUUCUGUUUCCGCUCUCUGUCUCUCUCUGUCUCUCUCUCGCUCUCUCUCUGUGGUUAUUAUUCUGUUAUUAUUCCCUCACCGCUGCUGGAUGAGACCUGUCAUUUUUAGCCUCUGUGGGAGAUUUGAUGGGAGAGAUAUCCCUCACACACACACACACACACACACACGCACACGCACACACACGCACUCAUUCAUCUCCCCCUUCCCCCCAUCAGAACGAGUGUGACUCCCCCUCCCUCCUCC